CGUUCCCGGGCCUUGUACACACCGCCCGUCACACCACGAAAGUCGGCAACACCCGAAGCCAGUGGCCCAACCCUUUUGGGAGGGAGCUGUCGAAGGUGGGGUCGGUGAUUGGGGUG
rnacentral:rRNA from 1 species